rnacentral:misc_RNA from 1 species
GGAAGGAUCAUUAACAGAGAGAGGGGGUCUGGUGCCUGGCGCAGCCAGGCGCGUGUGACCGGCAGGUCACUCGUGACCGCAGGUCACGUCUGUUCGUGGCCGCAAGGCCACGUCCGUUCGUGACCGCAGGUCACGGUGGUGGCCGCAAGGCCACAUCAUGACGCAAGUCACGCCUGGUCGUGUCAGUGCACCAGACUCUACUUACGCACCGUGCGGAGCGAGGGGGAUAUGUACAGAGUGUGUGGUCGUUUGACUGCCCUCUCACUGCGUGCCUCCUUGCCCCGCACUUGCACAUAAACUGUAUAUCCACUGACAUUUGACAAUACAUAAAUACAAAACUUUUAACAAUGGAUCUCUUGGCUCUUGCAACGAUGAAGAACGCAGUGAAAUGCGAAAAGUGAUGCGAUUUGCAUGAAUCUGUGAGUCAUCUAAUCUUUGAACGCACAUGGCGUGAUAUUGAGAAAUAUCGCAUACCUGUUUGAGAAUUGGAGUAAAACGUGGUCACAGUUGAUGAUCAGUGUGGUUCUGCGAGGCUACUUGCUGGACCGAAAAUCAUGGAGUGAAACAUACACGCGGAGGAGAGCGAGUUGCUUGCAAGUGGGCCCAGGCUCUCAAAAAGAGCGACUCGUUCCCCUCCCUUCAUAUUCAAUCUCAAAUCAGGCAAGACUACCCGCUGAACUUAAGCAUAUCAGUAAGCGGAGGAAAAGAAACUAACAAGGAUUCCCCUAGUAACGGCGAGUGAAGCGGGACGAGCUCAAUUUUGGAAUCUGGCAUGGGAAUCAUGCCCGAAUUGUAGUUUCACGAGGGCAGUCGGGAGGGAGCGGGUGGUUCAAGUCCUCUGGAAUGGGGCAUCGUAGAGGGUGACAAUCCCGUUGGACCAGCUUAACUCUUCUCUGUGCCUCUCUAAGAGUCGGGUUGUUUGGGAAUGCAGCCCAAAAGGGGUGGUAUGCGUCAUCUAAGGCUAAAUACUGGCGAGAGACCGAUAGCGAACAAGUACCGUGAGGGAAAGAUGAAAAGCACCUUGAAAAGGGAGUUAAACAGUGUGUGAAAUUGUUAAAAGGGAAGCGAGGGGAGGUAGUAGGGGAACGAGUCGGAAGACACGGCGGGCGCCAGCCCGCUGUGAGUCCCGACUUGUUCCAGUCAGGAGCUGUUUGGGGUGGGCUAGGAGACUGGGGGAAAGGUGGCAGUGGUCUUCGGGCUACCGCUUUAUAGUCCCCUUGGCUGGGCCCAGCUCGGACGGUUUGGUGGGGGUGUGUCAAUGGGGGGGCGACUGUACAGAUGGAGUGGACUAGACAGAAAUCUGGCUAGACCACCCCGUCUCGCAUUCUCCUCCCUCCGACCCGCUCCCCCUGACGAAAUGCCUUUCCACGACCCGUCUUGAAACACGGACCAAGGAGUCUAACAUUUGUGCGAGUAUUUGGGUGGCAAACCCGAAUGCGGAGCGAACGCGGAUUGUAGGAGGGGAAGAGAGAUCGACCCUGCACUACGGACCGAGGGGUGAUUCGUCACCCCCCGAGUCGGAGCAUAGCUGUUGGGACCCGAAAGAUGGUGAACUAUGCCUGGAUAGGGCGAAGCCAGAGGAAACUCUGGUGGAGGCUCGUAGCCGUUCUGACGUGCAAAUCGAUGGUCGAAUCUGGGUAUAGGGGCGAAAGACUAAUCGAACCAUCUAGUAGCUGGUUCCCUC